CCUACGGGAGGCAGCAGUGAGGAAUAUUGGUCAAUGGCCGAGAGGCUGAACCAGCCAAGUCGCGUGAGGGAAGACGGCCCUACGGGUUGUAAACCUCUUUUGUCGGGGAGCAAAGCGAACCACGUGGGGUUCAUUGAGAGUACCCGAAGAAAAAGCAUCGGCCAACUCCGUGCCAGCAGCCGCGGUAAUACGGAGGAUGCGAGCGUUAUCCGGAUUGAUUGGGUUUAAAGGGUGGGCGGGCGGGGGUGCAAGUCAGCGGGCAAAUUGCGGGGCUCAACCCCGUACUGCCGUUGAAACUGCAUCCGUUGGAAGCGCGAGAAGGAUGCAGAAUGCGUGGUGUAGCGGUGAAAU
rnacentral:rRNA from 1 species